GAUGAACGCUGGCGGCGUGCCUAAUACAUGCAAGUCGAGCGAACGGACGAGAAGCUUGCUUCUCUGAUGUUAGCGGCGGACGGGUGAGUAACACGUGGAUAACCUACCUAUAAGACUGGGAUAACUUCGGGAAACCGUAGCUAAUACCGGAUAACAUUUUGAACCGCAUGGUUCAAAAGUGAAAGACGGUCUUGCUGUCACUUAUAGAUGGAUCCGCGCUGCAUUAGCUAGUUGGUAAGGUAACGGCUUACCAAGGCAACGAUGCAUAGCCGACCUGAGAGGGCGAUCGGCCACACUGGAACUGAGACACGGUCCAGACUCCUACGGGAGGCAGCAGUAGGGAAUCUUCCGCAAUGGGCGAAAGCCUGACGGAGCAACGCCGCGUGAGUGAUGAAGGUCUUCGGAUCGUAAAACUCUGUUAUUAGGGAAGAACAUAUGUGUAAGUAACUGUGCACAUCUUGACGGUACCUAAUCAGAAAGCCACGGCUAACUACGUGCCAGCAGCCGCGGUAAUACGUAGGUGGCAAGCGUUAUCCGGAAUUAUUGGGCGUAAAGCGCGCGUAGGCGGUUUUUUAAGUCUGAUGUGAAAGCCCACGGCUCAACCGUGGAGGGUCAUUGGAAACUGGAAAACUUGAGUGCAGAAGAGGAAAGUGGAAUUCCAUGUGUAGCGGUGAAAUGCGCAGAGAUAUGGAGGGACACCAGUGGCGAAGGCGACUUUCUGGUCUGUAACUGACGCUGAUGUGCGAAAGCGUGGGGAUCAAACAGGAUUAGAUACCCUGGUAGUCCACGCCGUAAACGAUGAGUGCUAAGUGUUAGGGGGUUUCCGCCCCUUAGUGCUGCAGCUAACGCAUUAAGCACUCCGCCUGGGGAGUACGACCGCAAGGUUGAAACUCAAAGGAAUUGACGGGGACCCGCACAAGCGGUGGAGCAUGUGGUUUAAUUCGAAGCAACGCGAAGAACCUUACCAAAUCUUGACAUCCUUUGACAACUCUAGAGAUAGAGCCUUCCCCUUCGGGGGACAAAGUGACAGGUGGUGCAUGGUUGUCGUCAGCUCGUGUCGUGAGAUGUUGGGUUAAGUCCCGCAACGAGCGCAACCCUUAAGCUUAGUUGCCAUCAUUAAGUUGGGCACUCUAAGUUGACUGCCGGUGACAAACCGGAGGAAGGUGGGGAUGACGUCAAAUCAUCAUGCCCCUUAUGAUUUGGGCUACACACGUGCUACAAUGGACAAUACAAAGGGCAGCGAAACCGCGAGGUCAAGCAAAUCCCAUAAAGUUGUUCUCAGUUCGGAUUGUAGUCUGCAACUCGACUACAUGAAGCUGGAAUCGCUAGUAAUCGUAGAUCAGCAUGCUACGGUGAAUACGUUCCCGGGUCU
rnacentral:rRNA from 1 species